rnacentral:rRNA from 1 species
AACGUAGGUGGCAAGCGUUAUCCGGAUUUACUGGGCGUAAAGAGCCCGCGGGCGGCUCUUCAGGUCGACUGUGAAAUCUCCUGGCUCAACUGGGAGGGUGCGGUCGAAACCGGAGGGCUUGAGGGCCGGAGAGGGACAUGGAAUUCCCGGAGUAGUGGUAAAAUGCGUUGAGAUCGGGAGGAACACCAGUGGCGAAAGCGAUGUCCUGGCCGGUGCCUGACGCUUAGGGGCGAAAGCGUGGGGAGCGAACGGG